GGACUACCCGGGUAUCUAAUCCCGUUCGCUACCCACGCUUUCGUGUCUCAGCGUCAGGAAUGUGCCAGUGAAUUGCCUUCGCAUUUGGUGUUCCCCAUGAUAUCAACGGAUUUCACCCCUACACCAUGAGUUCCAUUCACCUCUCACACCCUCUCAGUUUUGCCGUUUCCCUCGCAUUACCUGGGUUAAGCCCAAGUGCUUUUACGAGAGACUAACAAAACCGCCUGCACACCCUUUACGCCCAGUGAUUCCGGGUAACGCUUGAGGCCUCUGUAUUACCGCGGCUGCUGGCAC
rnacentral:rRNA from 1 species